rnacentral:lncRNA from 1 species
UUUGUAGUCACUAAUAAUGUGUUUGUUUUCUUCAAAGUAACCUUCCUUUUGUUGGGACUUCAUAUUUUAUAGAUUAUGUUGUGUUUCAAACAUAACUUGUUAAUGGGCAUCAUUCCUGCUACUGUAGGGCCCCCUAAUUAUGAAUUGCUCAUUGGAUUUGUGGUGCUAAUGUUAGUCAUUUUGUCAAGAGAAACAUCAACUGGGGGGAAAUAAAGAAUAACCAAAUAAUUGGUGUAAAGAGUCUGAGUUUCAUUAACUAACGGAUAAUGUUUAGAGUUGCAACUGUGUGGACUUGCUGCUAUUUUGUAAGCUAAAGGGCUAGUCUUGAGUUAUUCUUGACUGAUUAUGACAAUUUCUGAGGAUUGUACUGGAAGAGUUGCAUUGAUUUGGAAAACAAUGGAUUUUCACUCUUUGUAUCUAGUUAUAUCCUCAAAGCAGUAGAUAUUCGUGAUUUCCCACAGAAUAUACUUCUCUAUUUGUACUGGAAGAGUUGCAUUGAUUUGGAAAACAAUGGAUUUUCACUCUUUGUAUCUAGUUAUAUCCUCAAAGCAGAAGAUAUUCGUGAUUUCCCACAGAAUAUACUUGUUUUCUAUAAUUUAAACUAACCUUAGAAAAUUCAGGCUUGGUCCACACUCCUGCAUAUAUCUUGUGUUGCUUUCACUGUUUCAGUGGCAUUCUAAUGUCCAUAUGCAAUUGGAGAUGUGAUUCUAAUUGUAGCAUUCUAUAAUUCUUCUUUAUCAUUGAAUUCCUGGAUUUAUUGGAUUUUUUAUUUGAACAGGGGGGAAACGAUCAUGAGAUAUAUGAAUCAGAACGAACGGUGGGUCAUACAGGUCAGAAAAAGAUUUCAUCUCCAACCUAUUUACUGGCAUCUCAAGGUUUCAUAUUCAAUAUGAUAUGCAUCAGAAUAAAUAAAAUCAAAACAGCUUAAGAUAUAAGUUAAUUCAACUAGUUAUAUUUUUUUUUCACAUGGGAGAGUAGGGAAUUAAAGAUUGGUCUCUAAAGUUGGACUUCACCUAUAACAUUGUGAAGUUUGUGGGUGGUUAUCCUGAACGCUUCAGCUGUCAUUACUGCAUUCAAACAAUAACAUUUAGCUGCAUAUUUUUGUCUUAUACAAAGUCACUAUGAUACAUGCAAAUGCCAUGUGAAGCAAAAAACUCAUUCCAGAUGCAAUUAAUCUAAAUGGAUGGUCUUAUUUCCCAUUUUUAUUAAAGUAUGCUUAAACGUUAAUGCAGCUGUAUUUAAUGGUUUCGAUUUAUGGCUAUUUUAUCUGCAGUUACCAGCCCUGAUGAUACAGUGGAGCAGUGUAAAGCCCUCUUCUUUGCCUGAGCUCAUGGCAAUUAUUUUGUUUCAACUCUGUGUUACAUUUGUAUGUUAUCCAUGAGAAUAAGCGCAAAAUAUAAAUUCCCAAUUGAAUGUAUUAUUUUAUGAACAAUGAAGACGUGAUGGAGAGAUAUCCAUUUAUCACAUGUAAUUUCUUAACCUCGACUCCUAUUUAUAUGCGUUUAUGAGAAUGGGAAUUUUACCAGCACCAGCAGUAAGCUUGGAGACUGAAAUGCCUUCGUGUAUGCUCUUUUUCCUCGUUUAUCUUCUUGUGUUGUUGCCUGAGCAAACCUAAAGCAAUCUUUAUGGAAAUCGUAAUUUAUUUUUUAAGCGUGGAAAAAUUAGUUUCUUAUCUAAAUUAUAUAUAUUUUUCAAUGAGAUGCAGGUAAAUAAAUUUGAAUUUUAUUUGUAGCUUAAACCGAAAUACUAUGAUUAUUUUUUCUUCCAUCUUCUGUAGCUGCAAUGAUCAACUGUGUGCUUUUCAAAGUGGUAUAUGGUGCAUAAUGUUGAUUUUACCACACAUAAAAAAUAGUUUUUGUAUCAAUUAAACUUAAAAAAACUGAACUGAAUUAAAAUUAAUAAUCGAGUCAAACUAAAAAAAACCUAAGGCAAAUCAAAUCAAACCCAUUAAAAAUUACAAAAAAAAAAAAAAAAAAAAAACAAUAGAGUUUUUGUUUGUUAGUAUAAAAUAACCGAACCGAAACUAAACGGUUGGAUUUUGGUUUUUAUUCUAAAAUAACUAAACUAAACUGAAAUCGGUCAGUUUGAACCGGUUUUAGUUUUAAAAAAAAUUAAUUUAGUUUGGUUUUUUUUGGAUAAAAACCAAAUUUAAUAAAAAAUAAUCACUUUUAGUUAUUGGAUCUAAUCCCAAUGCAUAUUAAUUUUGGGGUCAAUUGUUUCUGAUUAUUUUUAUCAAAUGAUUUUGCACAAAUCAGCUCCUUCUGUUCUCAAAUUACGAAGCUGCUAUUUCCAGGUGGCUCCAUACAAAAGAAUUCGUAGAGUUGCAUUUAUUGCUGCAAUACCCAAGAAUCCGUCUGGCAAGAUUCUCCGAAAGGAUCUUAUGAAGCUCGCAACCUCCAAGCUAUGAAUGCUUCAGGCUUAUGCAAGAUCAUAAUAAGUACAGGCUUCUGCAAGAUCAUAAUAAGUAGAGCAGGCGUGCAUGGUCAACUACAAUGUUCAUGUUUAUAUAGCUAAUAAAACUUCUCAAUAAUUUAUUUUAUUAAGAAUUAUGAUCCGUUCUUUUUUCUUGUUUUGAUGACGCAACAUUACAGUGCGUAUAAAUACUAGGGUUCUUUCUAUAAAAAAAAUGUAAUUCAAUAAUCUGAAUGAAAAAUAACACAUCAGAUUUAUAUUUUUUGAGAAAACUAUAUCGUGGCUUAAGAUUUAAAGCUGUUGAAGGGUCUUGCACGAGAACUACAAAGCGAAGAAAGACAAAAUUAGAAAGGACUUUAAAACCAGAACAUGGCCUUCUCUGAAAUUUUGCUGCAGUCUCGAGUCACUUGCAGGAGAACUCCUGGAAACUUCGGAAAGGCCAUCCAUCUCAGAAUUCUAGGCUCCUGAAAGAGACAAGGAAUUUUAGGCUCGUCAGGAAUUUACUUGGGUCGAUAUCAAACAGCCAAAAUAGUAAUCCCCUGAGGCCAAAAACCGUCGGCUUGCAGAGCACAAGGCAAAAGGAAGGCAGCCGCCAUAUUUGAGUUUGCACGUCUAGCUAAUAAACUGUGAUAUUCAAGAAAGACGCCUCGCUAGGAACUUCUAGUCAUCUUCUUCACCUUUUUUAAACUCAUGUAAGACAGCUUCGUCAUCAAUACAUUGACUUCCUAUUUAGCUUCAAUGUCCCAUUUUCUCUAACCAAAAAGAAUUCGCAUCACAUAGCACAAAUUAGUCAAAAUUAACAAGGAAUUUGUAACUUGUGGUUGUUUCAGGAGUCUACAAGGGUAUUGGAUUUGUUAUAUGUAAGCUGUUGGAUUCUGAUGGCAUUUCAGUGGUGCCCACAUCUAGAGAUUAGCAGAGGGGACUUGGUAGUUGGGAACCAUGGCUUUGGUUUUGUUAUACCCGUAGACUUCUCAAGGAGGGCUAAGACUGGCAAGGUAUUUCUGUUCAAAACAUUCCUUCUUCGCUGGUUUGGAGCUUUCUUCCUGUUGGUGCUUGACGGUGCAAAUCAACUAUGGGAAGUAAUGACUCAAACAGGAGUUAGCUGAAGAACGCCUGAAAUAAACUAUUGUGGAGCCAAGAGGAUGGAUUGGUGGAAGCCCUCGUUCACUCCCACAGAUUAUGUGAUUCUCCAUGACUCAUCAAUGUUUCCUCCACUUCAGAGAAAGUUAAUGGUAAAACCUCCGUUUAAUUGCUGACAUCUCAGAAAGGAACUGGUUCAAGUUUGAUACUGGUAGCUAGUUUGGCUGGUUAAAAAGUCUGCUGUAUGCCGAAAGUAGAUCUUACUUGAAAUAUUACCAGUUUGAUUUAACCUAAGUAAACCUUAAGGUCUAGAAUAGGUAGCGAGCACUGAGUAGAAAUGAAGACCUAAUUGGCACUUUAUUUCACCUCAGAAAUUGAAAAUCCCCUGAACACACACAAGAUUGGUUCAUGUAGCAGGUCUCAAAGAGAAUAAACUUCCCAGAAAUUGUUUAGCAUACUUGCUCAUUAUCUUGUUCCAGAGAAUAAAGUUCCCAAAUGAAUGGGUCAAAGAAGAGCUGAACGAUCCUGAGAACCUUGCCGAAUGGAGAGUGGGUGAUGAGAGCGAGUUUCUAGAGGAUUUUAAAAGAGGGUUCUUGAGAAAGCUCUCCCGCUCAUUUAUCUGCAUACAGAGUAAGAAUGUUAAGAAACAACUGGACUAGAAAUACACAAAUCUCCGCUUUGGGAAACAGACAUCAACUUCCAUUCUGACAUGGUAUCCGUUGAAGAAUUGAAGAAAGUGCUAAAAGCUCAGUAAGGUUGGAGCUCCUGCCAUUUGUAAAGCCAUGUAGUCUCUUGUUUUUAAUUUGUUCAGGAGGAAUAGCCACCUUCUUUGUUGGAUUUGAUGAUCAAUUUACGCAUCCAGUUCUGCUAGUGCUCAAGCAUCUCUGUGCCGUCCAGCUCUGUGAUAAUUCUUCAAACAUUUACUGUUCCAAAUGUUGCCAAUCGUACCCACAUGAAUGGAGCUUACAAGAAAAACACGGUUGGUUGCUAAGAAGUUUCCUUUCAAAUAAAAACAGACUUGUUAGUACUCAGGAAUUACUUCAUACCAUGUGAACCUUCCUUCCUAAUAAUAGAACAGAGAGGUUCUGAUAACGACUGCCAGUUCAUGUUCUUGACACUUGCAAAUUACUUCAGGGGUCCACGGGGUAUCAGUUGUAGUCGGUUGUAUUUUGAAAUAUAUUUUUUUUAAAUGUAAUAAAAAAUUAUUUUUAAAUAAAGAAUCCAACCUCGGGUUUGGCUGGUUACGUAAAACCACCUAAAUAGCUUAUAUGUAAUAACGUGUUUUGUUUUUUAUUUGAAAAGAAAUUAGAAUAAUAUUUUUUUUAAUUUAUUUUUAAUAUUAGUAUAUUAAAAUGAUAUAAAAACAUUAAUUUGAAGUUAAAAAAAUUAAUUUUUUUAAAAUAUAAUUGAACCACAAAAAGCUUGGUAUCACAUAGCACCGCGGUUUGCACAACAGUAAAAUCAUCGUCUUUUCAUUGUGGUGUGCGGUAAUAUCGAACAUAGAACUAAAUCAUUUCUCCUUCAUUUCACCGAAGUAAUUAAAUUUAUUAAUUAAUCCACAUAUUAUUUAAUUAAAAUUAUUAAUUUAUCAAAUUUAUGAAAGCUAUUUUCAGAUCCUUUGUCAUCAUGCAAUUAAAAUCAGUCAAAACUCAUUCUUGGCACAACUUCGCAUCUGUCAUCAGCUUUGGUAAAAUCCUCCUCUCAAAAACCAAGUAUCAAUUCGAAUGCGUGCAUGUUACCUAAAGAGAUUGCUUCUGGCCCAAACUAGAACACGUGGGCUUUGACUAACACUUCUCCCAGCCCAACUAAUCUCCACCCAUUCACAGAUCCACGUGAACGGUCAUAAUUAAACAGAAAAUAAUCUACAGAUCUUCAUCUAAGCCUCUUCAUUCCAAACCUGCCCCUGGACAAUAAAUUUAAUUCCCAAAUUCCUCCAGUUGAGAUCUGCAAUAAAUUCCACUCCUCGCACUUUUGACCCCUCACUCUCUUUACUUCGUUUUGUUGAAGGUCCUCCACUCUCUCUCUCUCUCUCUCUCUCUCUCUCUCUCUCUCUCUCUGUGUUUGGUUGCAGCCUCCAUUCUUUAAUCUGAGUCUCCUUGCAUUACAUGCUGCCAAACAUACCUUUUAACUUGAUUUUUCGAGUUUUGAAAUUUCUUCUCUUCGUGAAUUGGAUGACAGGAUAAUUUGUAGAGACUGUAAUGGCCGUGAGAAAACUGGCACUCUCACUGCUCCAAGGAAGGUAUUAAUUUAUUACAAAAACAACAUUGUCAGCGUCAAAUAAGAAUAAAUAUCAAAUUACUUCACCCAUUGAAAUUGACUUUUCUUCAAUUCAAAUUCCAGGAAGCCACCCCUAGUAUGAUAGAGUUCGUCAAGGAACUCCGAAAGGUAUUAAUUAUAUUUAUUUUUAGCACUAAAAAAACGGGCUAUUCUUUUUUUAUGGAGUCUUAGGCCCUCGUACAGGGAUGGAGAGUUAAAGAGUAUUGGUAAAUGCAGGUUGUUACUAUAGGAGUGGUGGGUGGAUCUGAUCUCUCUAAGAUAUCAGAACAGCUUGGAAAGACAGGUUUGAGCUUACUAAGGUUUUAAUGCUAUUUUUCCGGAGUUAAAGGGGAGUUAGUAAUUGUUGUAUUCUUGGCUCUGCAGUUAUUAACGACUAUGAUUAUGUAUUUUCUGAAAAUGGGCUUGUUGCUCACAAAGAUGGGAAGCUUAUCGGCACCCAGGUACAGUUUGAGAUGGAGAUUUGAAACACUUGAGCUCAGUAUUAGAUCUGUUUCUUUUUUCCUUAAAAUACUAGCUGCCAGUUGCUUGUUAACAUGUUUCUCUAAAUUACUGUGUAUAAUUCUCCUUUUCCAGAGCUUGAAGUCAUUUCUUGGAGACGAGAAGCUCAAGGUGAGAUCUUUUGCUCAUUAUACAAGAAUACUCUACGAUUGCUUGUCUAGAAAUGGUGUUGUUUAAUAAUGAAUCCUUUUAAGUGGGGUUCUGAAAGAGAUGACUCGUACAAGCAUUAAUGUUUGUAGACUGCUUGUCUGAGACUACAACAAGAACAAGAUCAUCUAGGAUAAAUUGAAUAGUGUAGGGAAUAGUGUCUUUUCACUGAGGAUGCUGACUUGCAGCGCCGAGACUCGCAUCCCAUUGAGAUAAUUAAAAAAAGGGAUGUUCUGGCAUAGUAAUUAUAUCGAUUUUUUUUCUAAUAAAUUUUUAAUGAAUCUGCAGGAAUUUAUAAACUUCACACUUCAUUAUAUUGCUGACUUGGAUAUCCCCAUAAAAAGGUGAGUGAAUUCAGAGCUUGAAAGCCAAUUUUUUUUAAAGCUCAUCCAGCUGAAUAUUGCAAAGAUGCUCAAUAAGACCUUUUUGUUUUCCAAUGACUUUAUUUUUAUACAAGUUUUCCAAUGAUUUCUAAAGGGGAACAUUUAUAGAAUUCCGAAGUGGGAUGCUUAAUGUAUCACCAAUUGGACGGAACUGCAGCCAAGAAGAAAGAGAUGAAUUUGAAAAGUAUGACAAGGUAAGAAAAGGCCUGGGUUAGAAUUUGAACAAAACAAAUAUUAUUGGAAGCUAUUGGGUUCAUAUUCUGGACUCUUUGUAUAGUUGAUGUUAAUGCUGAAAUACUAAACAAAUUGAGUCCUCAGGUUCAAAACAUUCGCCCAAAAAUGGUAUCUGUGCUGCGUGAAAAGUUCGCUCACCUUAAUCUCACAUUUUCAAUAGGGGGACAGAUAAGCUUUGAUGUAAGUGCCAUGUUAACUAGCUUAUGAUGAUUCUUGAAUGCAACAAUCAGAAGGCGGGUUUGGAAGAUUGGCAUCAUAUUCAUUAUUCGUGCGAGAUGCUUGUAACAGGUUUUCCCUCAAGGCUGGGACAAGACAUACUGUUUGAGAUACCUUGACGAGUUCAGUGAAAUUCACUUCUUUGGUGACAAAACCUACAAGGUUAUCCUCUUAUUAUAUUUCUUGCUUUGUGUUUUUAAUUAAUGAAAAUCAACAACACUUACAUUAUUUGUAGUCACUAAUAAUGUGUUUGUUUUCUUCAAAGUAACCUUCCUUUUGUUGGGACUUCAUAUUUUAUAGAUUAUGUUGUGUUUCAAACAUAACUUGUUAAUGGGCAUCAUUCCUGCUACUGUAGGGCCCCCUAAUUAUGAAUUGCUCAUUGGAUUUGUGGUGCUAAUGUUAGUCAUUUUGUCAAGAGAAACAUCAACUGGGGGGAAAUAAAGAAUAACCAAAUAAUUGGUGUAAAGAGUCUGAGUUUCAUUAACUAACGGAUAAUGUUUAGAGUUGCAACUGUGUGGACUUGCUGCUAUUUUGUAAGCUAAAGGGCUAGUCUUGAGUUAUUCUUGACUGAUUAUGACAAUUUCUGAGGAUUGUACUGGAAGAGUUGCAUUGAUUUGGAAAACAAUGGAUUUUCACUCUUUGUAUCUAGUUAUAUCCUC